rnacentral:rRNA from 1 species
GAAAGUAAUUAAGAGCAAACGGCGGAUGCCUUGGCUCUCAGAGGCGAUGAAGGACGUGACAAGCUGCGAAAAGCUGCGGGGAGGAGCAAAUAUCCAUUAUAUCCGCAGGUAUCCGAAUGGGGCAACCCUCCAGGUUGAAGACCUGGAAUCCGCCAGCUGGCGGAAGCGAACCCGGAGAACUGAAACAUCUAAGUACCCGGAGGAAGAGAAAACAAAAGUGAUUCCCAGAGUAGUGGCGAUCGAAAUGGGAAUAGCCCAAACCGACAAUGUCUAGGCAUAGUCGGGGUUGUAGGACCGGCAAUAUUAUUAUGAAUAUCAACGGAAACUACCUGGAAAGGUAGGGCACAGAAGGUGAUACCCCUGUACCGGAAAGUAUUUAUAAUAUAGCUGGUAUCCUGAGUAAGGCGGGACACGUGAAAUCCUGUCUGAACCCGCGGGGACCAUCCCGCAAGGCUAAAUACUCCUGAGAGACCGAUAGUGGACUAGUACCGUGAGGGAAAGGUGAAAAGCACCCCGAACAGGGGAGUGAAAUAGUACCUGAAACCGUUUGCUUACAAAUCGGUCGGAGUCCGCCAACUGGCGGAUGACGGCGUGCCUUUUGCAUAAUGAGCCUACGAGUUAUCCUUACUAGCGAGGUUAAAACUUUAAGAGUUGGAGCCGAAGCGAAAGCGAGUCUGAACAGGGCGUAUAGUUAGUAGGGGUAGACGCGAAACUUUGUGAUCUAUCCUUGGUCAGGCUGAAGUUCCGGUAACACGGGAUGGAGGGCCGAACCAGUAAACGUUGAAAAGUUUUUGGAUGAACUGAGGAUAGGGGUGAAAGGCCAAUCAAACUGAGAAAUAGCUCGUACUCCCCGAAAUGCAUUUAGGUGCAGCCUUGAGUCGAGUUUUGCAGAGGUAGAGCUACUGAUAAGGCUAGAGGGCUUCAUCGCCUAUCAAACCUUGACAAACUCCGAAUGCUGCAAAAUAAUGACCAGGAGUGAGGCUAUGGGUGCUAAGAUCCGUGGCCAAAAGGGAAAUAACCCAGACCAUCAGCUAAGGUCCCCAAGUAUAUGUUAAGUUGGAAAAACGAAGUGCGACUGCCCAGACAGCUAGGAUGUUGGCUUGGAAGCAGCCAUUCAUUUAAAGAGUGCGUAACAGCUCACUAGUCGAGCGGUUGUGCGUGGAUAAUAAUCGGGCAUAAACAUAUCACCGAAGCUGUGGAUCCGUCGUAAGACGGGUGGUAGGGGAGCAUUCCAGUCCUGCGUUGAAGGUGUACCGUAAGGUAUGCUGGAGCGUCUGGAAAAGAAAAUGUAGGCAUAAGUAACGAUAAGGCAGGUGAGAAACCUGCCCACCGAAAGACUAAGGUUUCCUGAUCAACGUUAAUCGGAUCAGGGUUAGUCGGGACCUAAGGGUAAGCCGAAAGGCGAUCUCGAUGGACAAUCGGUUAAUAUUCCGAUACCACCGCAUGUUGCGAUGGGGAGACGGAGGAGUGAAAGAACCGCCUGGUGACGGACAUCCAGGUUAAAGGGUGUAGUUAUAUACAUGGGUUAACAGCUUGUGUAUGAUGAACCUGAUAGUACCGCGAGGCUUCGGCUGAACGGAUAGCGUUCCUAAACAGACUUCCAAGAAAAUCCUCUAAGCUUCAGACAUGUGGUGCCCGUACCACAAACCGACACAGGUAGUCGAGGAGAGAAUCCUAAGGUGCUCGAGUGAUCCGUGGCUAAGGAACUAGGCAAAUUAGACCUGUAACUUAGGGAAAAAGGUUCCCCUGUUAUUAUGGGGGCGCAGAUAAAUGGCCCAGGCGACUGUUUAACAAAAACACAAGGCUUUGCGAAAUUGAAAGAUGAAGUAUAAGGCCUGACACCUGCCCGGUGCCGGAAGGUUAAGAGGGGGGGUUAUCCUGAUUCGUCGGGAGAAGCUCUGAAUCGAAGCCCCGGUAAACGGCGGCCGUAACUAUAACGGUCCUAAGGUAGCGAAAUUCCUUGUCGGGUAAGUUCCGACC